rnacentral:rRNA from 1 species
UUGAAGAGUUUGAUCAUGGCUCAGAUUGAACGCUGGCGGCAGGCCUAACACAUGCAAGUCGAGCGGUAGCACAGAGAGCUUGCUCUCGGGUGACGAGCGGCGGACGGGUGAGUAAUGUCUGGGAAACUGCCUGAUGGAGGGGGAUAACUACUGGAAACGGUAGCUAAUACCGCAUAAUGUCGCAAGACCAAAGUGGGGGACCUUCGGGCCUCAUGCCAUCAGAUGUGCCCAGAUGGGAUUAGCUAGUAGGUGGGGUAACGGCUCACCUAGGCGACGAUCCCUAGCUGGUCUGAGAGGAUGACCAGCCACACUGGAACUGAGACACGGUCCAGACUCCUACGGGAGGCAGCAGUGGGGAAUAUUGCACAAUGGGCGCAAGCCUGAUGCAGCCAUGCCGCGUGUGUGUGAAGAAGGCCUUCGGGUUGUAAAGCACUUUCAGCGGGGAGGAAGGCGGUGAGGUUAAUAACCUCAUCGAUUGACGUUACCCGCAGAAGAAGCACCGGCUAACUCCGUGCCAGCAGCCGCGGUAAUACGGAGGGUGCAAGCGUUAAUCGGAAUUACUGGGCGUAAAGCGCACGCAGGCGGUCUGUCAAGUCGGAUGUGAAAUCCCCGGGCUCAACCUGGGAACUGCAUUCGAAACUGGCAGGCUAGAGUCUUGUAGAGGGGGGUAGAAUUCCAGGUGUAGCGGUGAAAUGCGUAGAGAUCUGGAGGAAUACCGGUGGCGAAGGCGGCCCCCUGGACAAAGACUGACGCUCAGGUGCGAAAGCGUGGGGAGCAAACAGGAUUAGAUACCCUGGUAGUCCACGCCGUAAACGAUGUCGAUUUGGAGGUUGUGCCCUUGAGGCGUGGCUUCCGGAGCUAACGCGUUAAAUCGACCGCCUGGGGAGUACGGCCGCAAGGUUAAAACUCAAAUGAAUUGACGGGGGCCCGCACAAGCGGUGGAGCAUGUGGUUUAAUUCGAUGCAACGCGAAGAACCUUACCUGGUCUUGACAUCCACAGAACUUUCCAGAGAUGGAUUGGUGCCUUCGGGAACUGUGAGACAGGUGCUGCAUGGCUGUCGUCAGCUCGUGUUGUGAAAUGUUGGGUUAAGUCCCGCAACGAGCGCAACCCUUAUCCUUUGUUGCCAGCGGUCCGGCCGGGAACUCAAAGGAGACUGCCAGUGAUAAACUGGAGGAAGGUGGGGAUGACGUCAAGUCAUCAUGGCCCUUACGACCAGGGCUACACACGUGCUACAAUGGCAUAUACAAAGAGAAGCGACCUCGCGAGAGCAAGCGGACCUCAUAAAGUAUGUCGUAGUCCGGAUUGGAGUCUGCAACUCGACUCCAUGAAGUCGGAAUCGCUAGUAAUCGUAGAUCAGAAUGCUACGGUGAAUACGUUCCCGGGCCUUGUACACACCGCCCGUCACACCAUGGGAGUGGGUUGCAAAAGAAGUAGGUAGCUUAACCUUCGGGAGGGCGCUUACCACUUUGUGAUUCAUGACUGGGGUGAAGUCGUAACAAGGUAACCGUAGGGGAACCUGCGGUUGGAUCACCUCCUU